GGGUGUGGUGCAGCGGCAGGUAGACCUGGGCUGCUGUCACUAGCAGUGGGGAGGAGCAGAGGGCCAUAUUCUGACCACGUGGUCUGAAAGGGCAGCUGCUCGUGACACCCAGGCCCUCCGGCAGAUUCUUCACUCCUGUCAGGAUGCUGAGGAAGCCCCUGCCUGGUCUGUGCCCUCUACCGAGGAGGCUGGCCCUGUCCAGGCGGCUCCUUGGCCUGCCCAGCCCUCCAGGCCUCGGCCGCUCCCCGGUAUCCCUGUGAACUCUCUCCUCUGGUUUAUGGUGGUGCCCGGGAUGGGGAUUGAACCUGUGACUUUGGAGCCUCACGCUUAAGAGUCUGUUAGCAUAAUGGUUUUGCUAUCUACGCUCUGCCCUGUAUUUUUGUUUUUAGAUUGAUUCACUCCCGAGAAGGGAAGAGAACCAGAGCAUCAUUCUGGCACGUGCCACAACUGGGGGCAGAACUCAGAACUUUUGUGUUUGCGAGCCUGCCACUGCCCUGAGCUGUGUGGAUCUGCAUGGGAGAAGGGGCCUCCUCUGGCCUGCAGCCCAUCCCUGCCGAUGGCUAAGCUCUGGGGCACUGAUGAGUUAGUUUAUUUUUUAAUUUUCCCCCCUUUUGUUGCCCUUGUUUAUUGUCGUAGUUAUUAUUGUCAGGACAGAGAAAUGGAGAGGAAGAGAUGACUGAGGGCAAUAAAAAGACACCCGCAGACCUGCUUCCCCGCCUGGGAAGCGACUCCCCUGCAGGUGGGGAGCCGGGGCUCAAACCGGGAUCCUUACACGGUCCUUGUGCUUCAUGCCAUGUGUGCUUUACCCGGUGCUCCACUGCCUGGCUCCGGAGUCAGUUUAUUUUUUAAAGAAUUACUAGCAGGAGAGAGGGAAGCAAAGCAUCACUGGCGCGUGUGAUUCCGUGUGAGAGAGAGAGACUUGGGAUUGUGUUUCACCAGAGCCCUGCUCAACUCUGGCUUAGGGUGCUGGAGGGAAUCGAACCUGGGGCCUUGGAGCCUCAGGCUCGAGUCUUUUGCAGAAUUAUUACACCCCCCCACACACACACAACAGCCUCUUUAAGUAGUCCCCUCUGCAACGCCUGCUCGUGGCUCCUGGAGACGCAGGCUACCUGGAUGCCCAUAAUUAAAGUUCCGGAACAGGAUGGAGACCGUGCCCAGUGCCAACGACGACAACUACAACAAUAAAGCAACAAGGGCAACAAAAGGGAA